GAUGAACGCUGGCGGCGUGCCUAAUACAUGCAAGUCGAGCGCGAGAGUGAGGAGCUUGCUCCUCAUGAUCGAGCGGCGGACGGGUGAGUAACACGUAGGCAACCUACCCUUGAGAUUGGGAUAACCACCGGAAACGGUAGCUAAUACCGGAUACGACUUUUCCACAUAAGUGGAAUGGUUAAAAGGCGGAUUUAUCUGCCGCUCAUGGAUGUGCCUGCGGUGCAUUAGCUAGUUGGUGAGGUAGUGGCUCACCAAGGCGACGAUGCAUAGACCACAUAAGAUGGUGAUAGGCCACACGGGGACUGAGACCUGGUCCAGACUCCUAGGGGAGGCAGCAGGAGGGAAUGUUGCGCAAUGGACGAUAGUCUGACGAAGCAACGACGUGUAAGUGUUGAAGGGUUUAAGCACGUAAAACUCUGUUGUUAAGGAAGAACACUUGAGGUAGUAACUGGCAUUGAAAGGACGGUACUUAACCAGAAAGCCACGGCUAACUACGUGCAAGCCGCCGCCGUAA
rnacentral:rRNA from 1 species